AAUCCAUGAUGACUAUCAUUUAAGGCUUGUUUCUCAAAACAUUCGCAGUGGCCGCCUAAGAACUUUCGCAUUGGCCAGGCUUGAGAGCUAAUGCUGCUAUAAUCCUUCCCUGGAUGUCUCAUAUA